CCUGAUCUUUCACUAGUCUGAAAUGAUUUAGAAAAAUCUGAAUUUUUUUUUUUUUUUUUUUUUUUUUUUUUUUUUUUUUUUUUUUUUUUUUUUUUUGUGGUGGAGGAUGGGGUCUGCAUUUCAAGUCUGUUCUCCCAGCAGUCAGGGACCUGCACAGCUGCUGUGGGUGGGGCAGGUGAUUACUAACAGCAUGGUGAGAAGUUGGCUUGUGCCUGGUUGAGGGCUUGAGGACUGUGGUGAGAGAAGGGCCAGGGAGUGGAGUGGAAAAUACAAUUUACACAAGCAGAACCUGCUGUCCCCUGCGCUCGGAACAGGCGUGGAGGGUCCCCAAGGCAUCCUCAGAAUGGGCUUUGCCCUCACCUUGGCUUGUGCUGCUGCAGAUUUUGGAGACAAUUGUGCAUAAGAACGGGCACUAGAACCAGACUUGGGGCUGGCAUGCUCUGCAUUUCCAGGAUGGCUCAUGGACAGGGUAAGGUGCUAUUGGUGCACUCUGGAUCAAGCUGUGAUUCUAUGGACACUUCAGCAAGAGAGGUUUUUUCAGGGUGAUUAAACCUUCAUCCUUGCUGUGCUUCCUGUGACAUUUGCAUCUCUAUUUUGUAAAACUUCAGAAAUCUGAGUCAUCUUUGGCCCUGUGAAAUGUUAUAAACAUCAGCAAAAGCCAUCAUAGUUUGCAUGUGAAAAUACAUACUUUUUGACAUUUGGGAGUUGGAAAUUCUCAUAAUUUAAAACCAAUUUCUAUUGCUGAUGAUACAGAAAGGGGACAGGUUGGUGCCUUGGGGCCUAUGUUUGCUACUGUUGCCUGAAAAAUAACUAUUGCAGUAGCACCCUAUGGCCCUGGGUGGCCAGAACGGAGGUCCAGGAGGCUUGACAGGUGUUUACUACUGAGUCUUUGAUCUUUUAAGCCAAAUAAAAGUUAUAAAUUCUUAGAACUAUGUAUUUAUAAAAGAAAAGUAUAAAGGAGAGAUGUUGUACACUG